rnacentral:rRNA from 1 species
UACAGAGACCUCAAGCGUUAUCCGGAAUCAUUGGGCGUAAAGCGUACCGAUAGGUGGUUAUAUAAGUCAGAUGUGAAAUCUCCGAGCUCAACUCGGAAUCUGUCAUUUGAAACUAUAUGACUAGAGGGGCAAAGAGGAAGCUGGAACGAACGGUGUAGUAGUGAAAUGCGUUGAUAUCGUUCGGAACACCAAUAGCGAAGGCAGGCUUCUGGGUGCCACCUGACACUGCUAGGACGAAAGCGUGGGGAGCGAAUGGG